AUUGAACGCUGGCGGCAGGCUUAACACAUGCAAGUCGAGCGGGGACUUCGGUCCUAGCGGCGAACGGGUGAGGAAUGCUUGGGAAUCUGCCUUGUAGUGGGGGAUAACGUUUCGAAAAGAACGCUAAUACCGCGUACGUCCUACGGGAGAAAGGGGGGGAUCUUCGGACCUCUCGCUAUAAGAUGAGCCCAAGUCGGAUUAGCUAGUUGGUGGGGUAAAGGCUCACCAAGGCGACGAUCCGUAGCUGGUCUGAGAGGAUGAUCAGCCACACUGGAACUGAGACACGGUCCAGACUCCUACGGGAGGCAGCAGUGGGGAAUAUUGGACAAUGGGCGAAAGCCUGAUCCAGCCAUGCCGCGUGUGUGAAGAAGGCCUUCGGGUUGUAAAGCACUUUAAGCGAGGAGGAAUGGCUCUGGGUUAAUACCCUUGAGCUGUGGCGUUACUCGCAGAAUAAGCACCGGCUAACUCUGUGCCAGCAGCCGCAGUAAAAC
rnacentral:rRNA from 1 species